rnacentral:rRNA from 1 species
GACGAACGCUGGCGGCGUGCUUAACACAUGCAAGUCGAGCGGUAAGGCCCUUUCGGGGGUACACGAGCGGCGAACGGGUGAGUAACACGUGGGUGACCUGCCCUCAGCUCUGGGAUAAGCCUGGGAAACUGGGUCUAAUACUGGAUAUGACUCCACGGUGCAUGUCGUGGGGUGGAAAGCCUUGUGCGGCUGAGGAUGGGCCCGCGGCCUAUCAGCUUGUUGGUGGGGNGAUGGCCUACCAAGGCGACGACGGGUAGCCGGCCUGAGAGGGCGACCGGCCACACUGGGACUGAGAUACGGCCCAGACUCCUACGGGAGGCAGCAGUGGGGAAUCUUGCGCAAUGGGCGAAAGCCUGACGCAGCGACGCCG